GGGGCUAUAUCUCAGUUGGUAGAGCAAAUGACUUUUAAUCAUUGGGUCCAGGGUUCGAGUCCCUGUGGCCCCACCA
rnacentral:tRNA from 1 species